GACGAACGCUGGCGGCGUGCCUAACACAUGCAAGUCGAGCGAGUGGAUUUCCUUCGUGAUUGAAGCUAGCGGCGGACGGGUGAGUAACACGUGGGCAACCUGCCUCAUAGAGGGGAAUAGCCUCCCGAAAGGGAGAUUAAUACCGCAUAAGAUUGUAGCUUCGCAUGAAGUAGCAAUUAAAGGAGCAAUCCGUUAUGAGAUGGGCCCGCGGCGCAUUAGCUAGUUGGUGAGGUAACGGCUUACCAAGGCGACGAUGCGUAGCCGACCUGAGAGGGUGAUCGGCCACAUUGGGACUGAGACACGGCCCAGACUCCUACGGGAGGCAGCAGUGGGGAAUAUUGCACAAUGGGGGAAACCCUGAUGCAGCAACGCCGCGUGAGUGAUGACGGCCUUCGGGUUGUAAAGCUCUGUCUUCAGGGACGAUAAUGACGGUACCUGAGGAGGAAGCCACGGCUAACUACGUGCCAGCCGCCGCAGUAAAAC
rnacentral:rRNA from 1 species